UGGUGCGGGACGAGGUGCAGUGUU
rnacentral:miRNA from 17 species